rnacentral:lncRNA from 1 species
GCCAGCUUAGUAUCACUGCCAACCUUAACGUCUCUAAUUCCAUGACCUCACUUGCAACUUCCCAGCAUUCCCCAGCUCCUCUGCCUUGCUCUAAAUCAGCCAUUUUCAUGCAGCUGUUCCCUCGUCAAGGAAUCGACAAGGAGAAUGUUGAACUUUCCCCUACCACUGGCCACUGUAAUAGUGGACGAACUCGCCAUGGAUCCGCAAGCCAAGUGCAGAAGCAAAGUGCUGGCAGUUUCAAAUGUAAUAGCAUUAACAAGAUCAUGUGAAGCUUCCUUUCUUUCAGCUUUCAAACCAGCAUAACGUGGGCUCUUCACUAGUGACCCUGCCUGAACUGCGCCCUGUCCCCACGUGUUGCAGCA